rnacentral:sRNA from 1 species
GCCAGGUGUGGUGGUGCAUGCCUGUGGUCCCAGCUACUCAGGAGGCUGAGGCAGGAGGAUUGCUUGAGCCCAGGAGUUUGAGACCAGCCUGGGUAACACAGCAAGACUCUGCCUCUU